rnacentral:rRNA from 1 species
ACCCGCUGAACUUAAGCAUAUCAAUAAGCGGAGGAAAAGAAACCAACAGGGAUUGCCCUAGUAACGGCGAGUGAAGCGGCAUCAGCUCAAAUUUGAAAUCUGGCUCUUUCAGGGUCCGAGUUGUAAUUUGCAGAGGGCGCUUUGGUGUUGGCAGCGGUCCAAGUUCCUUGGAACAGGACGUCACAGAGGGUGAGAAUCCCGUACGUGGUCGCUGGCCUUCGCCGUGUAAAGCCCCUUCGACGAGUCGAGUUGUUUGGGAAUGCAGCUCUAAAUGGGAGGUAAAUUUCUUCUAAAGCUAAAUACUGGCCAGAGACCGAUAGCGCACAAGUAGAGUGAUCGAAAGAUGAAAAGCACUUUGGAAAGAGAGUCAAAUAGCACGUGAAAUUGUUGAAAGGGAAGCGCUUGCAGCCAGACUUGCCUGUAGUUGCUCAUCUAGGCUUUUGUCUAGUGCACUCUUCUGCGGGCAGGCCAGCAUCAGUCUAGGCGGUUGGAUAAAGGCCUCUGUCAUGUACCUCCUCUCGGGGAGGCCUUAUAGGGGAGGCGUAAUGCAACCAGCCUGGACUGAGGUCCGCGCAUCUGCUAGGAUGCUGGCGUAAUGGCUGUAAGCGGCCCGUCUUGAAACACGGACCAAGGAGUCUAACAUCUAUGCGAGUGUUUGGGUGUCAAGCCCGAGCGCGUAAUGAAAGUGAACGGAGGUGGGAUCCCUUUAGGGUGCACCAUCGACCGAUCCUGAUGUCUUCGGAUGGAUUUGAGUAAGAGCAUGGCUGUUGGGACCCGAAAGAUGGUGAACUAUGCUUGAAUAGGGUGAAGCCAGAGGAAACUCUGGUGGAGGCUCGCAGCGGUUCUGACGUGCAAAUCGAUCGUC